AGGAAAACACAUGAGGGAGAAGCUUCUCAGCUUCUGCAAGCUGAGAAACUCCAUGGACAUCAUGCUAUACAAAUCCUUGCUUAGAAUCCUUCUAGAAAAAGGAAAGCCAGUCAGGCACAGUGCUCAUUCCUGCUGCUCUGCUCUCCCAAGGCUGGAAAGACACCUCCCCCCAAAAACUCAAAAUAAAGCAUUUCAAUCCAACUCAAGUACCAAGUAUUCAUUCCAGUUCUGGAGGGGCAGGAAAACACACAAGAGGGUGAGUUCUCCAAGCUGAGAAACUCCAUGGACAUCAUGUAUACAAAUCCUUGCUUGGAAUCAUUCUAGAAGAAGGAAAGCCAGUCAAGCACAGUGCUCAUUCCUGUUGCUCUGCUCUCCCAAGGCUGGAGAGACACCUCCCCCCAAAAACUCAAAACAUUUCAUUCCAACUCAAGUACCAAGAUCUUCUACAGUCCUACACAAACCCAGGCUACUGCUGCUGGCAUUCAAAGGGAGGACACAAAUCAAUAACUGACACUCGAGGUCUUGGAGCUGCUCCAAUGGAAAAUCCCUGCAGCUGGGCCAGACCUGCAGCCAGGAUUCAGUGCCAGGAUAAAAAGCAGAGGGUCAUUUCUCCACCAAACCAAACCCU